rnacentral:rRNA from 1 species
ACCUGAAACCGUGUACGUACAAGCAGUGGGAGCCCCACCACUAAGCCAGUGGUGAACUCCACAUACGCAUCCUUUGCUGAGGAUACGGUUAACGGAGCGAAAGCGACGUUCAACCUCAAAAGAAGCAGAGGGGGCUUAGUGGUGGGGUGACUGCGUACCUUUUGUAUAAUGGGUCAGCGACUUAUAUUCUGUAGCAAGGUUAACCGAAUAGGGGAGCCGGAGGGAAACCGAGUCUUAAC